GCGGGAGUAGUUCAGCGGUAGAAUACAACCUUGCCAAGGUUGGGGUCGUGGGUUCGAAUCCCAUCUCCCGCUCGA
rnacentral:tRNA from 1 species